GUGGGGAAUAUUGGACAAUGGGCGCAAGCCUGAUCCAGCAAUGCCGCGUGUGUGAAGAAGGUCUUCGGAUCGUAAAGCACUUUCGACGGGGACGAUGAUGACGGUACCCGUAGAAGAAGCCCCGACUAACUUCGUGCCAGCAGCCGCGGUAAUACGAAGGGGGCUAGCGUUGCUCGGAAUUACUGGGCGUAAAGGGCGCGUAGGCGGCUCUGUGAGUCAGGCGUGAAAUUCCUGGGCUUAACCUGGGGACUGCGCUUGAUACUGCAGGGCUUGAGGCCGAGAGAGGGUGGUGGAAUUCCCAGUGUAGAGGUGAAAUUCGUAGAUAUUCGGAAGAACACCAGUGGCGAAGGCGACUCACUGGCCCGUUACUGACGCUGAGGCGCGAAAGCGUGGGGAGCAAACAGGAUUAGAUACCCUAGUAGUCC
rnacentral:rRNA from 1 species